rnacentral:rRNA from 1 species
UACGGAGGGGGCUAGCGUUGUUCGGAAUUACUGGGCGUAAAGCGCGCGUAGGCGGACCUGCAAGUCGGGGGUGAAAGCCCGAGGCUCAACCUCGGAACUGCCUUCGAUACUGCGGGUCUCGAGUCCGAGAGAGGUGAGUGGAAUUCCUAGUGUAGAGGUGAAAUUCGUAGAUAUUAGGAAGAACACCAGUGGCGAAGGCGGCUCACUGGCUCGGUACUGACGCUGAGGCGCGACAGCGUGGGGCGCAAACAGG